GCCCUGGUGGCGGAACUGGUAGACGCGCAGGACUUAAAAUCCUGUUUCCAGCAAUGGAAGUACGGGUUCGAUUCCCGUCUGGGGCA
rnacentral:tRNA from 1 species